rnacentral:ncRNA from 1 species
UUGAAUUUACCGCCGGGUAGUCGUUUUACAUCCAUUCCAUUAGGCCAAUGAAGGAAUGAGUGUUAGACGACUUUUUUU